UUGGAACAUUUUAAGUUUAUAAAAGUAUACUUUAAGUAUACUUUGUAGGGUCAUUUUAAGUUUACAGAAGUACACUUUCAAGUAUACAACAAGUACACUCAUUACUCAUUACUACUAGUGUACUAAGUAUAUACUUCUAGUCCACAUUUUGUGGUGCUGGAGAAACUGGUUUUGGCCAAACUGAGGCCGCAGGUGAGAGCCCUGCUAGACCCUCUGCAAUUUGCUUACCAGCCCCACUUGGGAGUUGAUGACGCUGUCAUCUACCUGCUGCAACGAGCCCAUUCGCACCUGGAUGGUGGAGGAGGCACUGUGAGAAUCACAUUCUUUGAUUUCUCUAGUGCUUUUAACACCAUUCAGCCACUGCUACUGGGGGAGAAGCUGCGGGUGAUGGGUGUAGACGACACAAUGAUCUCCUGGAUUACUGACUGCCUGACAGGCAGGCCACAGUUUGUCCGUAUGGGCAGUGUUCUGUCUGAUGCGGUGGUUAGUGAUACAGGAGCUCCACAGGGGACUGUACUGUCUCCUUUCCUGUUCACCUUAUACACCACUGACUUUCAGUACAACACUGGGUCGUGUCACCUGCAAAAGUUUUCUGACGACUCGGCUGUUGUUGUGUGUAUAAGUGAGGGACAGGAGGAGGAGUACAGGGCACUGGUAGACAACUUUGUGGAGUGGACUGGACAAAAUCACCUGCGGCUGAACAUCAGCAAGACCAGAGAGAUGGUGAUAGAUUUCAGGAAGAAGAGGAAGACGGCUUUCCAACCACUGUGCAUUCUGGGAAGGGAUGUGGAGGCAGUGGAGGAUUACAAGUACCUGGGUGUUGCCAUCAACCACAGACUGGACUGGAGAUCUAACACUGAAGCUGUGUACAAGAAGGGGAUGAGCAGACUUUACUUCCUGAGGAAGCUGAGAUCCUUCAACGUGUGCAGCAAGAUGUUGGAGAUCUUUUAUCAGUCUGUGGUGGCCAGUGUACUUUUCUUUGCUGUGGUUUGUUGGGGAAGCAGCAUCGGAGCCAGCGACACCAACAGACUCAACAAACUGAUCAGGAAGGCUGGCUCUGUGAUUGGCUGCAAACAGGACACUCUGGAGGCUGUGGUGGAGAGGACGACACUGAAAAAACUGUUAUCCAUCAUGGAUAAUCCUCUCCACCCUCUCCAACUCACACUGGUCAGACAGCGGAGCACCUUCUCCGGAAGGCUGCUUCAGCUUCGCUGUCGUAGCAACAGAUACAGGAAAUCUUUCCUGCCACAAUCCAUCACUUUAUACAACAACUCUCUCACCUCUGUCUGACAGAGAACUCUGGUCUCUCUACUG
rnacentral:lncRNA from 1 species